rnacentral:rRNA from 1 species
CUACGUGCCAGCAGCCGCGGUAAUACGUAGGUGGCAAGCGUUGUCCGGAUUUAUUGGGCGUAAAGCGAGCGCAGGCGGUCAAUUAAGUCUGAUGUGAAAGCCCCCGGCUCAACCGGGGAGGGUCAUUGGAAACUGGUUGACUUGAGUGCAGAAGAGGAGAGUGGAAUUCCAUGUGUAGCGGUGAAAUGCGUAGAUAUAUGGAGGAACACCAGUGGCGAAGGCGACUCUCUGGUCUGUAACUGACGCUGAGGCUCGAAAGCGUGGGUAGCAAACAGGAUUAGAUACCCUGGUAGUCCACGCCCUAAACGAUGUCUACUAGUUGUCGGGGAUUAAUUUCCUUGGUAACGCAGCUAACGCGUGAAGUAGACCGCCUGGGGAGUACGGUCGCAAGAUUAAAACUCAAAGGAAUUGACGGGGACCCGCACAAGCGGUGGAUGAUGUGGAUUAAUUCGAUGCAACGCGAAAAACCUUACCUACGCUUGACAU